rnacentral:rRNA from 1 species
UACAGAGGGUGCGAGCGUUGUCCGGAUUUAUUGGGCGUAAAGAGCUCGUAGGCGGCUUGUCGCGUCGACUGUGAAAACCCGCGGCUCAACUGCGGGCUUGCAGCUGAUACGGGCAGGCUAGAGUUCGGUAGGGGAGACUGGAAUUCCUGGUGUAGCGGUGAAAUGCGCAGAUAUCAGGAGGAACACCGGUGGCGAAGGCGGGUCUCUGGGCCGAUACUGACGCUGAGGAGCGAAAGCGUGGGGAGCGAACAGG